AGUUUCCCAGGCUCCUCUUCCUCCGGCGAUGGCAGUCGGCAUGGCGCAUUUUGACCUGCUGGUUCAACAGGUCAGAGGCCUCACCGAAGCAGUGCAGGCCAUGUAGCAGCAGUCGCAGCAGCCACAGGCAUCGGUGCGGUUGGAAAGAGCAUUGUCGGAGUUCCAGAAUUCGACGAUCGGGCGGGCCACAUGGGCCAGCCACCCUGUCUUUUCCAGAAAAGAAAAACAGAAGAUGAAGAGUCCUCCGUCCGAUCAUGAUUCAACCCCUGG
rnacentral:lncRNA from 1 species